rnacentral:ncRNA from 1 species
CAGAGUAGGAGCCUGUGCGUUAAGUGCCCACUGGACGGGGAGUUGCCGGUGGGACGAAAAGGAUGCAUCCCGAUCGGGCGUAUCCUUGCGGUAUAGGCUCCGCAUCCCGCUG